GUGAAUCAUCGAAUCUUUGAACGCACCUUGCGCUCCUUGGUAUUCCGAGGAGCAUGCCUGUUUGAGUGUCAUUAAUAUAUAUAUCAACCUUCUCUUUUUGAGUGGUUGGAUGUGGGGGGUUUGCUGGCCUUGUAAAGGGUUCAGCUCCCCUGAAACACAUUAGCAGAACAACCUGCUCAUUGGUGUGAUAACUAUCUACGCUAUUGAAUGUAAGGGGCAGUUCAGCUUUCAAACAGUCCUCGGACAAUUCAUCAUUAAAGUGACCUCAAAUCAGGUAGGACUACCCGCUGAACUUAAGCAUAUCAAUAAGCGGAGG
rnacentral:rRNA from 1 species